AACUAUGUUUUUUAGUUUUACAUUCUCUAUCUCCUCCUGUGAUCAUGAACCCAACAUUUACUGUUCCAGAUUAUUUUAAUUUUGGUCACUGGAAAAGCAUCCAUCAUUUUUUUUUUUUGUAAUUUAAGUUUCAGUUGUAUUUUUUCAACCAAUAUUGUGCAUUGUCCAGCAUAUCACAGUCUUAUGAGAAGAAAAAGAGCAUGUAUUUCUCAAGUAAAGAUUUACUAUGGCCCUCAAUGCAUCAAAACUUAGAA